GAACUCAUCAACCGGAAGGAAUUCCUUCGGUUGAUGAGGUUUAGCUUCCUCAUUGACCGAAGGAGAGUCCUUCCGGUCGAUGAGGAAGCUAUACCUCAUCAACCAGAAGGAAUCCCUUCUGGUCGAUGAGGCU
rnacentral:miRNA from 1 species